CCUGAGAGACCAACUAAGUUUGUUCUUGGUAUAAGCUUUCGUGUGUAUCUGAAGAAGUGCACAUGCACACAAAGGCUUAUACCAGUAACAAACUUAGUGGGUCUCUAAGG